rnacentral:rRNA from 1 species
CACGUAGGGUGCGAGCGUUGUCCGGAAUUAUUGGGCGUAAAGAGCUCGUAGGCGGUGUGUCGCGUCGGCCGUGAAAACCUGGGGCUUAACUCUGGGCUUGCGGUCGAUACGGGCAUCACUGGAGUUCGGCAGGGGAGACUGGAAUUCCUGGUGUAGCGGUGGAAUGCGCAGAUAUCAGGAGGAACACCGGUGGCGAAGGCGGGUCUCUGGGCAGUAACUGACGCUGAGGAGCGAAAGCGUGGGGAGCGAACAGG